AGAAAAUGUGGUGCCUGUAAGAAGUACAGAAAAUAGGUUCUGACUGCGUAGCCCUCAGCCUACCCUCCGUCAAGUGAAGGCAAUUGAAUAUCCGCAUCUUCCAGAGAAACACAAAAGGAAGGUGGUGGACAUAGGUGGAACAAGGGGACU